rnacentral:snRNA from 1 species
GUGUUCAUUUCAGCAGUACAUAUACUAAAACUGCAAUGAUACAUAUUAGCUUAGCAUCACUCAAAGAUGACACACAUACUUUUGAAAGGGCUUUAUAUUUUU